rnacentral:rRNA from 1 species
AACGAACGCUGGCGGCGUGCCUAACACAUGCAAGUCGAGCGCGAUAAGGGCAACCUGAGUAGAGCGGCGCACGGGUGCGUAACACGUGGGUAAUCUGCCUUAGAGUCGAGGAUAACCUUCCGAAAGGUUGGCUAAUACUCGGUAAGCUUACGGUGUCUUCGGACGCUGUGGGAAAAGUAGGCAUCUGUUUACAAGCUUACGCUCUGAGAUGAGCCCGCGGCCCAUCAGCUAGUUGGCGGUGUAACGGACCACCAAGGCAACGACGGGUAGCUGGUCUGAAAGGAGGAUCAGACAGAAUGGAACUGAGACCCGGUCCAGACUCCUACGGGAGGCAGGAGUGGGGAAUUUUCCACGAUGGGCGAGAGCGUGAUGGAGAAACGCCGCGUGUGUUAUGAAGGUUGUCGGAUAGUAAAGCACUUUCGACUGGGACGAAAAACCUUUGGCUAACAUCGAAGGGCCUGACGGUACCAGGAGAAGAAGCACCGGCUAACUCUGUGCCAGCAGCCGCGGUAACAC